CGCUUACCAAGUACCAAGUACACCUUUCCUUUUUGCCGUCUGGCUCUCUCUCUCUCUAGUCUCUCUCUCUCUAGAUCGAAAGGGCGACUCGCAAGUUGGAGACCUUGGUGUUGGAUCUGAGCUUGAAUUGGAUCGGCGGAAGGAAGACCCAGCCAGCCAUCCGGUGUGUGGAAUUAGGGUUUCGAUUUCGUUUUCGGUGGAGAAAAUUCUGAUGGGCGAUCUAGGUUUUCGCGAUUGAUAAGGGAAUUGGAAGGGCGUGGAUUGAUGGUAAUGGUUGGAAUUGAAGGCGCGAUCGGGAUUGGGGAAAAUGCAAGGCUAUGCAUGGGAGGGGAGGUGAGGAGAGGAAACGGAGUCGGCACAUGUUGACAGUCCCUACGGCCGAUGGUUCUUCUUCCUCAUCUUCGAAUUCGACUAAUUCCUUUUUCAAGGACGGACGCAAGAUCAGUGUUGGUGAUUGUGCUCUGUUCAAACCUCCCCAGGAUUCCCCACCUUUCAUUGGAAUAAUUCGUUGGUUAAUUACAGGCAAAGAGAACAAGUUAAGAGUAGGAGUGAAUUGGCUUUAUCGACCUUCUGAAGUAAAGCUUGGCAAAGGCGAACUGUUCGAUGCUGAGCUGAACGAAAUUUUCUAUUCGUUCCAUAAGGAUGAGAUUCCUGCCGCAUCGUUACUUCAUCCAUGUAAAGUCGCGUUCCUUCCUAAAGGUGUUAAGCUUCCAUCUGGGAUUUCAUCUUUUGUAUGCCGGCGUGUUUAUGACAUUACAAACAAGUGUUUAUGGUGGCUAACUGAUCAGGACUAUAUUAAUGAGCGACAAGAGGAAGUAGAUAAAUUGUUAUAUAAAACUCGAGUAGAAAUGCAAGCAACAGUGCAGUCAGGUGGCCGAUCUCCAAAACCAAUGAACGGUCCAUCUUCAGCAUCACAGUUAAAAGCUGGAUCAGAUGGUGUCCAGAAUAGUGCCUCAUCCUUUUCUUCUCAAGUUAAGGGGAAAAAAAGGGAGCGGGGAGACCAGGGGUCUGAGCCUGUCAAACGAGAACGCAUUACAAGAAUAGAUGAUGGGGAUUCUGGUCACUGUAAACAGGAAAGCACUUUAAAGUCAGAAAUUGCAAAAAUAACUGAAAGAGGAGGGCUUGUAGACUCUGAAGGGGUUGAAAAAUUGGUUCAGCUCAUGGGGCCUGAUAGAAAUGAGAAAAAAAUAGAUGUGGCUGGCCGGUCUAUGCUUGCUAGUGUUUUAGCAGCCACAGAUAAAUUUGAUUGCCUUAGUCGAUUUGUGCAGCUCAGGGGUUUGCCUGUAUUCGAUGAGUGGCUCCAAGAGGUCCACAAAGGGAAGUUAGGUGAUGGCAGUGCAUCCAAAGAUAGUGACAAAUGUGUUGAGGAGUUUCUCUUGGUUUUACUUCGUGCCCUGGAUAAGCUGCCAGUAAAUCUUAAUGCUCUACAAAUGUGUAACAUUGGAAAGUCCGUCAAUCACUUGCGGACACAUAAGAACUUGGAAAUCCAGAAGAAAGCAAGAAGUUUAGUUGAUACAUGGAAGAAACGUGUUGAAGCUGAAAUGAAGAUCAAUGAGGCAAAGUCUGGUUUAAAUCAGGCUGGCCCCUGGUCUGCUAGACCAAGGUUACCUGAAGUUUCUCAUGGUGGAAACAGGCAUUCAGGUGUAUCCACUGAUGUUGCUGUCAAGAGCUCAGUUACACAGCUUUCUGUAUCAAACAAAUCUUCAGUUAAGCUUGUCCAAGGAGAUAAUAUUACCAAAUCUGCUUCUGCAUCUCCAGUUUCUUUGAAAUCGGUGCCGUCACCUGUUUCAGCAGGUUCUAACUUAAAAGAUGGACAAUCCCGGAUUGUUCCUGUUGGUGUCACAGUUGAUCUUCCUAUGACAACUACAAGGGAUGAGAAAAGCAGCAGUUCUAGUCAGUCUCACAACAAUAGCCAGUCAUGUUCAAAUGAUCAUGCUAGAAAUGGAGGCGUUUCUGGUAAAGAGGAUGCAAGGAGCUCGACUGCAGGUUCUAUGAAUAAGACAUCAGGUGGUUCUUCACGGCCUAGGAAAUCAAUAAAUGGCUUCCCAGGUUCUACUCCCUCUGGAGCUCAAAAAGAAACCGUAUCGAGCAGAAGUUCAUCAUUGCACAAGAAUCCAGCUUCAGAAAAAUCAUUACAGGCUGGAAUAAGUGAGAAGGUAGUUGAUGAUAACAAAUUAAUUGUCAAGAUUCCGAAUCGAGGUCGCAGUCCAGCACAAAGUGGAAGCGGAGGUUCUUUUGAAGAUCUUUCGAAUAUGAACAGCAGAGCUUCUUCUCCUAUGCAUUCUGAAAAGCAUGAUCAACUUGAUUGUACCUUAAAGGAAAAGGUUGAUGUUUAUCGAGCCACUGGUACCUCAGAUGUUAACACAGAGUCCUGGCAAAGCAACGAUUUUAAAGACAUAUUGACCGGAUCUGAUGAGGGGGAUGGGUCACCUGCUGCUGUUACUAAUGAAGAGCGCGACCCUAAGAAAACUGCAGAAGUCCCAAAAGCUGCUUCCUCAUCAUCAGGGAAUGAACAGAAACCAGGUAACGCUCAGGAGGCUUCUUUCAGCUCUAUGCAUGCCUUGGUUGAAAGCUGUGUGAAGUAUUCUGAAGGUAAUGCUUCUGUUGGAGAUGAUCUUGGUAUGAAUCUGCUUGCUAGUGUGGCCGCUGAUGAGAUGUCUAAAUCAGAAUCUCCAACUGAUUCUCCACAGAGGAGCACCCCAGUAUCUGAGCAUCUUUGCAAAGGCAAUGAUUCCAGAGUCAAAUCACCUCUUCUUGAGGACCUUGCUCGAGAUGAAAGCCAGUCUAAUGUCGGUGCUGAUGAUGAAUAUCAGAAGCAUGGUAUUGUCUCUGCUACUUUUGGGACUAAGGAUGGGGGUGGUAAAGGCCCCUUCCCAGAGAACAAAGAAAAACCAAUUGAAGUUACUUUAGCUCCUGCUGUGACUCCCUGCCCUGCUAUUGCAGUUGAGGAAACUAUGGAUAGUGAAGGAACCAAACCACCUGAAGAGAAAAAGGUGGUGGGUGGAGUCGAUGAAACUCUAGAUAUUAAACAAGGUCUAACUGGUCAUUUGUCAAAUGAAACUAAGGCUAAUGAUGCAAUUUCAAGGGCAGUAGAUGGGAAAGAAGGCACUGAAGAAUCAUCUUUGCACCCAGCGUUGGAAGUUGAUGGUAAACUGUCUGCCAUACAGAUGCAUUCUGAGUCAGUAAAAGGAACAAGUGAAGGUGUGAUGCUUUCUUCAGAAAAAGUCUCUGCACCAAAGGCUGAUAAUACAGAUGAAAUGGAGGAUAGGAGUUGCUCUAAUCAGACAGAAAGACACAGACCAGAAAGUAAUGAUCCUAUCUUGCCUAAAAAAGAAAGUGAUAAUUCUUUAAUUCCUGAGAAUCGAGCUGCAAGGGGCUCUAGUUCUGCUGUUACUGACCACAACAGUGAGCACAUGGAGGAAAUUUUGGAAAGUAAAGUGGCUAAUGAUCAACUUAGCGAACCAGUUGUUUUGAAGGUGAAACCUGAUCUUCCAAUGCAAGAAGUAGAACAUGUGAGGUCCAAGAAGUCUAAAGUUACUGGCAUGGAUGCAAAAGUGGAAGUCGAAGAAGCCGGGGAAUGCACAUCUACAACUGCAGAUACUCCUAUGUCCGCUGUGGGAGUAUCAGACAUGGAUGCAAAAGUGGAGUUUGAUUUGAAUGAAGGCUUUAAUGCAGAUGAUGGGAAAUUUGGGGAGCCAAAUAACUUGACAGCACCUGGAUGUUCAACUGCUCUACGGUUGAUUAGCCCUUUACCAUUUUCUGUUUCUUCUUUGUCUAGUGGCCUUCCUGCUUCAGUUACAGUGCCUUCUGCAGCGAAAGGGCCCUGUGUUCCACCAGAUGACUUGUUGAAGGGUAAACAGGAGGAUGGUUGGAAAGGAACAGCAGCGACAAGUGCCUUCCGGCCAGCUGAGCCUAGAAAAGUAUCAGAGUUGCCAUUAGGUGCAACAAAUAUUGCAAUUCCUGACCCUAUAGCUGGCAAGCAAGGACGCCCUGCUUUGGAUAUUGACUUGAAUGUACCUGACGAGAGAGUUCUCGAGGAUAUGGCUUCUCAAGAGAUAUUUUCUCUUUUUGCCCCAACAAGUAAAAAUGAUUUUGCGCGUGAUCAAUCUAUGAGUAUGGCACCUGUUCGCAGCUCAGGAGGUCUGGAUCUUGAUUUGAAUCAAGUUGACGAGGCUUCUGAAAUUGGUAGUUACUCAUUGAGCAAUAUUCGCCGAAUGAAUAACCCAAUUCUGUCAACAAAAGCAUCAGGUGGACCUCCAAAUGGAGAAGUCAGUCAUCGUAGGGAUUUUGAUUUGAAUAAUGGACCAGCCUUUGACGAUGUAAGUGCUGAACCGGCAGUGUUUAGUCAGCAUACCAGGAGCAGUAUGCCAUCUCAACCUCCUAAUUCUGGUUUUAGGAUGAGCAAUACAGAAGUGGGAAACUUCUCAUCUUGGUUUUCUCCAGCCAAUACCUACUCAGCUGUCACAAUUCCUUCGAUUAUGCCAGAUCGUGGAGAGCAGCCAUUCCCAAUUGUUGCAACUGGUGGACCUCAAAGGACGGGUCCUCCUAGCAACCCCUUUACUCCUGAUGUCUACAGGGGUUCAGUGGUGUCAUCUUCUCCAGCAGUGCCUUAUCCUUCUACUUCAUUUCAAUAUCCAGUUUUUCCUUUUGGAAGCAGUUUUCCUCUGCCUUCAGCCACGUUUGCAGGUGGUUCAACAACAUAUCUGGAUUCAUCUGCUGGAAGGCUUUGCAUUCCUGCUGUCCGUUCCCAGUUGUUAGGACCUGGUAGUAUGAUUCCUUCCAACUACCCAAGGCCAUAUGUAGUUAAUGUUCCAGAUGGUAGCAAUAACAGUAGUGCUGAGAACAGUAGGAAAUGGGGAAGGCAGGGGCUAGACCUCAAUGCAGGGCCUGGUGGCCCAGACUUAGAGGGGAGAGACGUGACUUCACCUCUUGCACCAUGGCAAUUCUCUGUUGCCAGUUCACAGGCAUUAGCUGAGGAGCAAGCAAGAAUGUUCCAGAUGUCAGGCGGCACCUUUAAGAGGAAGGAACCUGAGGGAGGAUGGGAUGGCUACAAACAACCUUGGAAAUAGGCAUGUGAAAUGGCGAAAUUUGGUGACUCAUGAAACCUUGUGUCUGUUCCCUUGCAAUCUGUUCUCUUGUUGAGCUCCAGUACUUCUCAACUGCAACAUGCGAUUUAACUGUUCUGUGCAAUAUAGGGUGAUUUAGUCUAAUGACAUCAAUAAAGAUCGGACAUGACCUCUUGCCUUUGAAUUAUAGGGUGAUUUAGUCUAAUAGAGGAAUCAAGUGCUUUGAGGAUGCCAUUUGCCAAGACCCCAGGUCAUUACCUAAGCUUGUGUGCUGCUGGAGGCUGGGUGGUAAGUGAGUUAUUUGAUGUUGUUCAUAGUCUCCGACCCCCUCCUCUUUGUUGUAUCAGUUGUAUCUUAAAAGAAUGAAACGAGCUCUACAAGCUGUUUCCUUAAAUUUGCUCUGGGGGGCUGCAGGUUUUCUUCACCUUUGUAGAUAUACUUAGUUCUAACAGUUGAAAUCAUACUGUGUUGCCCCAUACACAAUCUUUUGGUGUCCUUACUGGUAUCAAGUGCAUUAGAUAUUCAUUAUUACCAUUGGACUGAAAAUCCCUCACCAUUUCCAACAUAUACAGUUGUGGAUGAGCUUACAAAGGAAGCUUGUUUAUGUGGCUUGUUUAAUUUAUUCUCAAUGUUCCCUUGUUUUUCUGUUAUCCAUCACAUAUAAAGCAGUGGUCACCAAAUGUUGGCA